rnacentral:lncRNA from 1 species
AAAUAUAGGAAGCCUCUCCGAGGUCCUUCAUAGCGAAGCACUUCCCGAGCCAGGACUUAACCUCCUGCAAUGUCGGGAUGUCAUUUCCUAUGAGCAGUAUGUCAUCGACAUAUAAUACGAGGAAGAUCACUAUACUCCCACUGGUUUUGACAUACACACAUGAUUCAUCCUCGCAUCGUAUAAACCCAAACUCUUUGACUUUCUCAUCGAAGCAAAGAUUCCAUCUGCGAGACGCUUGCUUAAGUCCACAAAUGGACUUCUCAAUCUUACACACUCUAUUGAGAUGCUUUGCAUUGACAAAACCCUUUGGCUGAGCCAUGUAAACAUCCUCGGCCAACUUUUCAUUAAGGAAAGUAGUUUUGGCAUCCAUCUGCCGUAUUUCAUAAUCAUGAAAUGCAGCAAUGGCCAGCAUCACCCUAAUAGACUUUAUUUUCGUAACUGGUGAGAAGGUCUCAUCAUAGUCAACUCCAGGAUUUUGAGUAAAGAGUAUGGUUGCGCUUCAGGCAAAAUCCACUAUCUAACUCCGUCAAGUUCCUAUUCNCGAAAAGGUUCGAUUACGCCUCUCAGCCACACCGUUCAACUGCGGUGUCNNNNNNNNNNNNNNNNNNNNNNNNNNNNNNNNNNNNNNNNNNNNNNNNNNNNNNNNNNNNNNNNNNNNNNNNNNNNNNNNNNNNNNNNNNNNNNNNNNNNACUAUUAUAGGAAUAGUUAGGAGAUUCUAUUUACUCUCUCACACAUUCUCUCUCUCUCACUCUCUCUCACUCUCUCUCUCUCACUCUCACUCUCUCUCUCUCUCUCUCUCUCUCUCCUUCUCUAGUACGACGAAUUACUCAGGAGUCAGUUCAUUCAUGAGUCUAUACUAUUAUUAUAAUACUUUAAAUGGAAUGUGACACACUAUUUCCCGAUACGACGCUUCAUAGCGCCAUCGCCGUGUAACCAGAGUCUCCUGGAGGGAGAGCGGACAUCAUGUGUAUAGAUCUAUACGGGACAGAUACUCCUGAAUCCUGACUGCUAGCUACAGUUCGAGCCGGUAAGGCCCAUGGGUGACAUAAUGUUACUAACUCUACGCGUGACCUGGAGGGUCAUCAAGGAUUUGAUCGUCAAUCAUCAUGUUUACAUACGAGUUCACAUUCAACCCUUUUAUUCACCUUUAGACUGAGACAGAUGUAUUGUUCAUUCAAUACCCUCCUGGAGUCUAUGUUUUAUUCACCUUUAGACUAAGCCAGGCGUAUUGUUCAUUCAAUACCCUCCUGGAGUCUAUGUUUUAUUCACCUUUAGAUUGAGCCAGGCGUAUUGUUCAUUCAAUACCCUCCUGGAGUCUAUGUUUUAUUCACCUUUAGACUGAGCCAAGCGUAUUGUUCAUUCAAUACCCUCCUGGAGUCUAUGUUUUAUUCACCUUUAGACUGAGCCAGGCGUAUUGUUCAUUCGAUACCCUCCUGGAGUCUAUGUUUUAUUCACCUUUAUACUGAGCCAUGCGUAUUGUUCAUUCGAUACCCUCCUGGAGUCUAUGUUUUACUCACCUUUAGACCGAGCCAGGCGUAUUGUUCAUUCGAUACCCUCCUGGAGUCUAUGUUUUAUUUACUUUAACCAUCAGUUUUACUGCUGAGGUAUAAUAUUAUUUUCCCCUAUUAUUUAUAUUUGUGAUUUUCUCAUAAUCCCUUUAAAGUAAAAACUGUAUUUUGGUAAUGAUGGCAUUUUGGGGAAAUUACUCCUUAAAACAUAAAACUGUCGGGUCUUGGUAGAAGACUGUUUUUGAUAAAGAUACUCCUUGGUUUAAACACAAAACGAUUGGGUCUUGGUAGAAGACUGUUUUUGAUAAAGAUACUCCUUGGUUUAAACAAAGAACGAUUGGGUCUUGGUAGAAGACUGCUUUUAAAUUAGAAAAUAUAGGAUUUUCUGGAAAAAAUUCUAACACUCUGUAGAUUCUAAACCACCAUCUUUUCUGAGUUUAUUUUGAAGAAAAACAUGUAUUUAUAUCAAUGUCAUUAAAUACUUAUGAACUCACCAGCAUUUAAAAAUGCUGAUACUCGCUUUCAAAAUAACUUGUAUUCUCAGGUCAUCGAUAGACAAGUACAUCCCGGGAGCUUUUAUGAAGACAGCCUUGUACCGAGCUGCACUCUAUGUUAUUCUCUGUAUUUACUUUGAUGUUAUUGUAUAAUGUAACCUAUGUAAAAUUAUUACUAUUGAUGCAAUGGUUGUUGUACCUUGAUUACUAUACUACAUAUGUUGUGAUACUUAACAUGACGUCAUCCACCCCAGAACGUUUCCGCCGUUCUCGGUUUUGGGGUGUGAGACUGCUCCUCCAUUAAGGGUAAAGACCCAGCCCGACUGCAAACGGUACUUAUACCUGUCGGUCUAAAAACCGGCGUCACUAUACCCUCACACCUUUAACUCAUCACUCCCUCCGAGGACUAGAAACCAUUCUUUGGUCCUCCGAAGGUACCUAAGAAUGUUCUUGACUGCGGUCCAAUGCGCUCUGCCAGGGUUCCCUUGAUAUCUACUGACCAUGCACAAAGCGAAGGCCACAUCAGGGCGAGUACAAGUCAUAACAUACAUAAUCGAGCCAACUGCGGAAGCGUAUGGUACUCGGCUCAUUUCUGCUCUCUCGACUUCGGUACUUGGGCAUUGAGUCUUACUCAACUUGGCAUUACUUUGGAUUGGUACCUCUCCCUUCUUUGAGUUUUCCAUACUAAAACGUUUUAGUACCUUGUCCAAGUAAGUAUUCUGACUAAGUCCUAUUAGUCUCUUAUUUCUAUCUCUCACUAUCCUUAUUCCCAAAAUAUAGGAAGCCUCUCCGAGGUCCUUCAUAGCGAAGCACUUCCCGAGCCAGGACUUAACCUCCUGCAGAGUCGGGAUGUCGUUUCCUAUGAGUAAUAUGUCAUCGACAUAUAAAACGAGGAAGCUUACUAUACUCCCACUGGCUUUGACAUAUACACAAGAUUCGUCUUCGCUUCGUACAAAUCCAAACUCUUUGACUUUCUCAUCGAAGCAAAGAUUCCAUCUGCGAGACGCUUGCUUAAGUCCAUAAAUGGACUUCUCAAGCUUACACACUCUAUUCGGAUGCUUCAGAUCCACAAACCCCUCUGGCUGAGCCAUGUAAACAUCCUCAGCCAACUUUCCGUUAAGGAAAGCGGUCUUGACAUCCAUUUGCCAAAUCUCAUAAUCAUGAAAUGCGGCAAUUGCUAGCAUCACUCUAAUAGAUUUAAUUUUCGCAACUGGUGAGAAGGUCUCAUCAUAGUCAACUCCGGGAGUUUGAGUAAAGCCCUUC